rnacentral:rRNA from 1 species
GAUGAGCGCUGGCGGCGUGCCUAAUACAUGCAAGUCGAGCGAACGGACGAGAAGCUUGCUUCUCUGAUGUUAGCGGCGGACGGGUGAGUAACACGUGGAUAACCUACCUAUAAGACUGGGAUAACUUCGGGAAACCGUAGCUAAUACCGGAUAAUAUUUUGAACCGCAUGGUUCAAAAGUGAAAGACGGUCUUGCUGUCACUUAUAGAUGGAUCCGCGCUGCAUUAGCUAGUUGGUAAGGUAACGGCUUACCAAGGCAACGAUGCAUAGCCGACCUGAGAGGGUGAUCGGCCACACUGGAACUGAGACACGGUCCAGACUCCUACGGGAGGCAGCAGUAGGGAAUCUUCCGCAAUGGGCGAAAGCCUGACGGAGCAACGACGCGUGAGUGAUGAAGGUCUUCGGAUCGUAAAACUCUGUUAUUAGGGAAGAACAUAUGUGUAAGUAACUGUGCACAUCUUGACGGUACCUAAUCAGAAAGCCACGGCUAACUACGUG